rnacentral:rRNA from 1 species
CACGUAGGGGGCGAGCGUUGUCCGGAUUCAUUGGGCGUAAAGCGCGCGCAGGCGGCUCGGAAAGUCGGGUGUGAAAACCUGGGGCUCAACCCCGGGCGUGCAUCCGAUACUGCCGGGCUUGAGGCAGGUAGGGGAGAUCGGAAUUCCUGGUGUAGCGGUGAAAUGCGCAGAUAUCAGGAGGAACACCGGUGGCGAAGGCGGAUCUCUGGGCCUGUACUGACGCUGAGGAGCGAAAGCGUGGGGAGCAAACAGG